GACCGCGUAGCUCAGCUGGAAGGGCAUUGGGCUAGUAUUCCAAAGGUCGUAGGUUCGAAUCCCACCGUGGCCG
rnacentral:tRNA from 1 species